rnacentral:rRNA from 1 species
CCUACGGGAGGCAGCAGUGGGGAAUAUUGCGCAAUGGGCGAAAGCCUGACGCAGCGACGCCGCGUGAGGGAUGAAGGUCUUCGGAUCGUAAACCUCUGUCAGCAGGGAAGAACGGUCACUGUGCUAAUCAGCAGUGAAUUGACGGUACCUGCAAAGGAAGCACCGGCUAACUCCGUGCCAGCAGCCGCGGUAAUACGGAGGGUGCGAGCGUUAAUCGGAAUUACUGGGCGUAAAGCGCUCGUAGGCGGUAUGUCAAGUCAAGGGUGAAAUCCCCGCGCUCAACGUGGGAACUGCCUUUGAAACCGGGAAACUUGAGUGUGUGAGAGGAUAGUGGAAUUCCAGGUGUAGGAGUGAAAUCCGUAGAUAUCUGGAAGAACAUCAGUGGCGAAGGCGACUAUCUGGCACAUAACUGACGCUGAGGAGCGAAAGCGUGGGUAGCAAACCGGAUUAGAUAACCGGGUAGUC